AYAUGAUUCCCUAGUAGCGGCGAGCGAAGCGGGAAGAGCUCAAAUUUAUAAUCUGGCACCUUCGGUGUCCGAGUUGUAAUCUCUAGAAAUGUUUUCCGCGCUGGACCGCACACAAGUCUGUUGGAAUACAGCGGCAUAGUGGUGAGACCCCCGUAUAUGGUGCGGACGCCCAGCGCUUUGUGAUACAUUUUCGAAGAGUCGAGUUGUUUGGGAAUGCAGCUCAAAUUGGGUGGUAAAUUCCAUCUAAAGCUAAAUAUUGGCGAGAGACCGAUAGCGAACAAGUACCGUGAGGGAAAGAUGAAAAGCACUUUGGAAAGAGAGUUAACAGUACGUGAAAUUGUUGGAAGGGAAACGCUUGAAGUCAGACUUGCUUGCCGAGCAAUCGGUUUGCAGGCCAGCAUCAGUUUUCCGGGAUGGAUAAUGGUAGAGAGAAGGUAGCAGUUUCGGCUGUGUUAUAGCUCUCUGCUGGAUACAUCUUGGGGGACUGAGGAACGCAGUGUGCCUUUGGCGGGGGUUUCGACCUCUUCACACUUAGGAUGCUGGUGGAAUGGCUUUAAACGACCCGUCUUGAAMMMACGGGACMAA
rnacentral:rRNA from 1 species